AAUAAAUAUUGACGACAACUGAGUUUAUUUGAAAGAAAACGGAGUAAGGGAAGCAAGUCACCCGCGAUGAAGUCCGGACACCUUAUGGUUAUGUUUUACGUCGUAUUUGCUUUGAAAGUUUGCUGCCAUCCCAAUGAGAUCGUUAUGGUUACAGACGCAAUGAGAGCUGCAUGUUUCAACGAUAGGUGCACGCGUUGGUUCACUCGUUCGUCUCGCUAUUACAGCAGGUGCAUGGAGGAGUGGUGUCCACAGCUUUUCUUCCGAUGCCAAAAUGGUAAUUACUGGACAUGUCGGUACCUAAGGAAACUAGCUGGCAUACGCCCUUCGUGAGUUCCAAUAGCCAGACGAGAUCUGUGUAUGUCGUUUGUAGAGAUUUCGGACAACCCUCUUACUGCACGUGGGCAAUAAAUUAUGACCGAAUAGUUCAUAAUGAACUGGACAUAGUAUACCGCUUGUAUAGACAACAAUCAACACUUUAUAUAUUGACGUUCUUUAUCAUCUGAUUUACAAAAUACGCUAAAGUGUAUUCUGCCGUCUAUGGGAACUCGGUGAAGCUGCCAAGCCCGAUUCGGCCUGGUUGUGUCAGUCCAAUCGUUCUCGUCGUUCCUGCUAGCUAUGAAGCCGAAUUCUAGUACUUUUUGGAAUUCAGCAACGUUUACGGAGAGGAAUUCGGCUACAUCUGGGUAUCUGUGAAAUAUAAUUGUAAA